CCUACGGGUGGCUGCAGUGAGGAAUAUUGGUCAAUGGGCUUACGCCUGAACCAGCCAAGUCGCGUGAGGGAAGACUGCCCUAUGGGUUGUAAACUGCUUUUAGUUGGGAAUAAAAGGGGGCUCGUGAGCCCCGUAUUGUAUGUACCAUCAGAAAAAGGACCGGCUAAUUCCGUGCCAGCAGCCGCGGUAAUACGGAAGGUCCGGGCGUUAUCCGGAUUUAUUGGGUUUAAGGGGAGCGUAGGCCGGCUUUUAAGUCAGCUGUGAAAGUCCGCGGCUCAACCGUGGAAUUGCAGUUGAAACUGGAGGCCUUGAGUGCACACAGGGAUGCCGGAAUUCAUGGUGUAGCGGUGAAAUGCUUAGAGAUCAUGAAGAACUCCGAUCGCGAAGGCAAGUGUCCGGGGUGCAACUGACGCUGAGGCUCGAAAGUGCGGGUAUCAAACAGGAUUAGAUACCCCGGUAGUC
rnacentral:rRNA from 1 species